GUGAUCUUGCUUUGCUGAUACUUGCCAUGCAAUGCAGAUAGAUGAAGUAACGUAGCUAGCUACUGUACCUAUUUUCUUGCUUAUUGUGCGGUGGAGGAUACAAAUGCCUGUAUGCCUAUGGGUGUGGUGUGUAGCUAACGUUAGCUAUGUAGCAGAUCUGUGUAUGGACCGUAAAACGUUUGGCAUACAUAUUAGUUCAGAACCUAGUUAUGAACCUCAGCUAUCAUAGCCAGUUAUAUCGACUUCAAACCUGUCUGAAUGGCAUUCAUGAAGCCUAUGGAUUGAGUAGAAUAUAAUAUAACUUUGUGCCAAGGAUGCAACUCGUAGUUAUUACCAAGCAUACCCACAUUGUAGCCUGUACAUUUAAUAUAGUCACCGAUCAUGUACUCUACUUUGGUAAAUAAAGGUGCAGUUCAGAUAUGAAUGUCUGUGAGACAUUUUUCAGUCAUAUCCAAUAUUAGGAGUAGAGGUUGACCGAUUAUGAUUUUUCAACUCCAUACCGAUUGGAGGACCAAAAAAGCAGAUACCGAUUAAUCUUCUGAUUUAAAAAAAUCAAUUUAGCCUCAAAUAAAUAAUGAAACAUGUUCAAUUUGGUUUUAAAUAAUGCAAAAACAAAGUGUUGGUGAAGUAAAAGUGCAAUAUGUGCUAUGUAAGAAAGCUAACAUUUCAGUUCCUUGCUCAGAACAUGAGAACAUAUUGUAGCGACCCGCACAGACAGCUGUGUGUUAUGUGUUAGGCUAGGAGGUGGUUGUGUUGUACUGACCAGUACCCGGUGUUCGCGGGGUCCGACAUGUCAAUCAACCUGCUAUCUGCCAAUCACGGGAAUGCCUGGAAUGUUCUGAUGCCGGGCAUCCUGGUGGUUGGCGGAGUGGCGUGGAGGGGGGUUGGGCAUUGGAAGCUAAGACCAGGUUCAGCCUUUAUUCUCUCUCUUGCGUCUGGGCUUCCCAAGAGAAGGUCACGAUUGGCUUAUGGGUUAUCUGUUAUGUUUUUGGCGUGUGCUACGGCCCAAACAGUAGCCUGUGUAAAGUUGGUUUAAUAAACCGUCAAUUCGCAAACUCAAGCCUCUGUCUGGACAAUUGUUCCUUUAUGAUCUAGUCAGGUCAUUACAAUAUGAAAGCUGGUGGUUCCUUUUAACAUGAGUCUUCAAUAUUCAAAGCAACAACAGCCACCAUCGAAGCAGCUUUACCCAUGCAGAGCAAGGGGAACAACCACUGCAAGGCUCAGCGUGAGUGACGUUUGAAACGCUAUUAGCACACGCUAACUAGCUAGCCAUUUCACUUCGGUUACACCAGCCUCAUCUCGGGAGUUGAUAGGCUUGAAGUCAUAAACAGCGCAAUGUUUGACAGACAACGAAGAGCUGCUGGCAAAACGCACAAAUUAAUGUUUACGCACCUGCUUCAGUGAUACUUGUAUGCUCAGUCAGAUUAUAUGCAAAGCACGACACGCUAGAUAAUGUCUAGUAAUAUCAACCAUGUGAAGUUAACUCGUGAUUAUGAUUGAUUGAUUUUAUAAGAUAAGUUUAAUGCUAGCUAGCAACUUACCUUGGCUUACUGCAUUCGCGUAACAGGCAGUCAGUGUCCUUGUGGAGUGCAACAAGAGGCAGGUCGUUAUUGCGUUGGACGAGUUAACUGUAAGGUUGCAAGAUUGGAUCCCCCGAGCUGACAAGGUGAAAAUCUGUAGUCCUGCCCCUGAACGAGGCAGUGAACCCUCCGUUCCUAGGCCGUCAUUGAAAAUAAGAAUGUGUUCUUAACUGACUUGCCUAGUUAAAUAUAGAUUAAAUAAAGGUGUAAAAAAAAAAAAAAUUAAAACAACGAUUUCCGAUUGUUAUGAAAACUUGAAAUCGGCCCUAAUUAAUCGGCCAUUCUGAUUAAUCGGUCGACCUCUAAUCAGGAGUAUCAAACACCAUUCUUUGAAAUGAUGC